UGGGGAAUUUUGCACAAUGGGGGAAACCCUGAUGCAGCGACGCCGCGUGAACGAAGAAGGUAUUCGUAUCGUAAAGUUCUGUCCUAUGGGAAGAUAAUGACAGUACCAUAGAAGAAAGCUCCGGCUAAAUACGUGCCAGCAGCCGCGGUAAUACGUAUGGAGCGAGCGUUGUCCGGAAUUAUGGGGCGUAAAGGGUACGCAGGCGGUUUAAUAAGUCGAAUGUUAAAGAUCGGGGCUCAACCCCGCAAAGCAUUGGAAACUGAUAAACUUGGGUAGUGGAGAGGGAAGUGGAAUUCCUAGUGUAGUGGUGAAAUACGUAGAUAUUAGGAGGAAUACCAGGAGCGAAGGCGACUUUCUGGACACAAACUGGCGCUGAGGUACGAAAGCGUGGGGAGCAAACAGG
rnacentral:rRNA from 1 species